GGUUUUCGGACCUAGAGACCGGCGCACGGGUGCGUAACGCGUAUGCAAUCUACCUUUCACAGAGGGAUAGCCCAGAGAAAUUUGGAUUAAUACCUCAUAGUAUAAUACAAUCGCAUGAUUGAAUUAUUAAAGUCACAACGGUGAAAGAUGAGCAUGCGUCCCAUUAGCUAGUUGGUAAGGUAACGGCUUACCAAGGCGACGAUGGGUAGGGGUCCUGAGAGGGAGAUCCCCCACACUGGUACUGAGACACGGACCAGACUCCUACGGGAGGCAGCAGUGAGGAAUAUUGGACAAUGGGCGCAAGCCUGAUCCAGCCAUGCCGCGUGCAGGAUGACGGUCCUAUGGAUUGUAAACUGCUUUUAUACGAGAAGAAACACCUCUACGAGUAGAGACUUGACGGUAUCGUAAGAAUAAGGAUCGGCUAACUCCGUGCCAGCAGCCGCGGUAAUACGGAGGAUCCAAGCGUUAUCCGGAAUCAUUGGGUUUAAAGGGUCCGUAGGCGGUCAGAUAAGUCAGUGGUGAAAGCCCAUCGCUCAACGGUGGAACGGCCAUUGAUACUGUCUGACUUGAAUUAUUAGGAAGUAACUAGAAUAUGUAGUGUAGCGGUGAAAUGCUUAGAGAUUACAUGGAAUACCAAUUGCGAAGGCAGGUUACUACUAAUGGAUUGACGCUGAUGGACGAAAGCGUGGGUAGCGAACAGGAUUAGAUACCCUGGUAGUCCACGCCGUAAACGAUGGAUACUAGCUGUUGGAAGCAAUUUCAGUGGCUAAGCGAAAGUGAUAAGUAUCCCACCUGGGGAGUACGUUCGCAAGAAUGAAACUCAAAGGAAUUGACGGGGGCCCGCACAAGCGGUGGAGCAUGUGGUUUAAUUCGAUGAUACGCGAGGAACCUUACCAAGGCUUAAAUGUAGAUUGACCGGUUUGGAAACAGACUUUUCGCAAGACAAUUUACAAGGUGCUGCAUGGUUGUCGUCAGCUCGUGC
rnacentral:rRNA from 1 species